UUGACGUUACCUACAGAAGAAGCACCGGCUAACUCCGUGCCAGCAGCCGCGGUAAUACGGAGGGUGCGAGCGUUAAUCGGAAUUACUGGGCGUAAAGCGCAUGCAGGCGGCCUGUUAAGUCAGAUGUGAAAGCCCGGGGCUUAACCUCGGAAUUGCAUUUGAAACUGGCAGGCUAGAGUCUUGUAGAGGGGGUAGAAUUUCAGGUGUAGCGGUGAAAAUGCGUAGAGAUCUGAAGGAAUACCAGUGGCGAAGGCGGCCCCCUGGACAAAGACUGACGCUCAGAUGCGAAAGCGUGGGGAGCAAACAGGAUUAGAUACCCUGGUAG
rnacentral:rRNA from 1 species